GGUUAAGCGACUAAGCGUACACGGUGGAUGCCCUGGCAGUCAGAGGCGAUGAAGGACGUGCUAAUCUGCGAUAAGCGUCGGUAAGGUGAUAUGAACCGUUAUAACCGGCGAUUUCCGAAUGGGGAAACCCAGUGUGUUUCGACACACUAUCAUUAACUGAAUCCAUAGGUUAAUGAGGCGAACCGGGGGAACUGAAACAUCUAAGUACCCCGAGGAAAAGAAAUCAACCGAGAUUCCCCCAGUAGCGGCGAGCGAACGGGGAGCAGCCCAGAGCCUGAAUCAGUGUGUGUGUUAGUGGAAGCGUCUGGAAAGGCGCGCGAUACAGGGUGACAGCCCCGUACACAAAAAUGCACAUGCUGUGAGCUCGAUGAGUAGGGCGGGACACGUGGUAUCCUGUCUGAAUAUGGGGGGACCAUCCUCCAAGGCUAAAUACUCCUGACUGACCGAUAGUGAACCAGUACCGUGAGGGAAAGGCGAAAAGAACCCCGGCGAGGGGAGUGAAAAAGAACCUGAAACCGUGUACGUACAAGCAGUGGGAGCACGCUUAGGCGUGUGACUGCGUACCUUUUGUAUAAUGGGUCAGCGACUUAUAUUCUGUAGCAAGGUUAACCGAAUAGGGGAGCCGAAGGGAAACCGAGUCUUAACUGGGCGUUAAGUUGCAGGGUAUAGACCCGAAACCCGGUGAUCUAGCCAUGGGCAGGUUGAAGGUUGGGUAACACUAACUGGAGGACCGAACCGACUAAUGUUGAAAAAUUAGCGGAUGACUUGUGGCUGGGGGUGAAAGGCCAAUCAAACCGGGAGAUAGCUGGUUCUCCCCGAAAGCUAUUUAGGUAGCGCCUCGUGAAUUCAUCUCCGGGGGUAGAGCACUGUUUCGGCAAGGGGGUCAUCCCGACUUACCAACCCGAUGCAAACUGCGAAUACCGGAGAAUGUUAUCACGGGAGACACACGGCGGGUGCUAACGUCCGUCGUGAAGAGGGAAACAACCCAGACCGCCAGCUAAGGUCCCAAAGUCAUGGUUAAGUGGGAAACGAUGUGGGAAGGCCCAGACAGCCAGGAUGUUGGCUUAGAAGCAGCCAUCAUUUAAAGAAAGCGUAAUAGCUCACUGGUCGAGUCGGCCUGCGCGGAAGAUGUAACGGGGCUAAACCAUGCACCGAAGCUGCGGCAGCGACGCUUAUGCGUUGUUGGGUAGGGGAGCGUUCUGUAAGCCUGUGAAGGUGUGCUGUGAGGCAUGCUGGAGGUAUCAGAAGUGCGAAUGCUGACAUAAGUAACGAUAAAGCGGGUGAAAAGCCCGCUCGCCGGAAGACCAAGGGUUCCUGUCCAACGUUAAUCGGGGCAGGGUGAGUCGACCCCUAAGGCGAGGCCGAAAGGCGUAGUCGAUGGGAAACAGGUUAAUAUUCCUGUACUUGGUGUUACUGCGAAGGGGGGACGGAGAAGGCUAUGUUGGCCGGGCGACGGUUGUCCCGGUUUAAGCGUGUAGGCUGGUUUUCCAGGCAAAUCCGGAAAAUCAAGGCUGAGGCGUGAUGACGAGGCACUACGGUGCUGAAGCAACAAAUGCCCUGCUUCCAGGAAAAGCCUCUAAGCAUCAGGUAACAUCAAAUCGUACCCCAAACCGACACAGGUGGUCAGGUAGAGAAUACCAAGGCGCUUGAGAGAACUCGGGUGAAGGAACUAGGCAAAAUGGUGCCGUAACUUCGGGAGAAGGCACGCUGAUAUGUAGGUGAAGUCCCUCGCGGAUGGAGCUGAAAUCAGUCGAAGAUACCAGCUGGCUGCAACUGUUUAUUAAAAACACAGCACUGUGCAAACACGAAAGUGGACGUAUACGGUGUGACGCCUGCCCGGUGCCGGAAGGUUAAUUGAUGGGGUUAGCGCAAGCGAAGCUCUUGAUCGAAGCCCCGGUAAACGGCGGCCGUAACUAUAACGGUCCUAAGGUAGCGAAAUUCCUUGUCGGGUAAGUUCCGACCUGCACGAAUGGCGUAAUGAUGGCCAGGCUGUCUCCACCCGAGACUCAGUGAAAUUGAACUCGCUGUGAAGAUGCAGUGUACCCGCGGCAAGACGGAAAGACCCCGUGAACCUUUACUAUAGCUUGACACUGAACAUUGAGCCUUGAUGUGUAGGAUAGGUGGGAGGCUUUGAAGUGUGGACGCCAGUCUGCAUGGAGCCGACCUUGAAAUACCACCCUUUAAUGUUUGAUGUUCUAACGUUGACCCGUGAUCCGGGUUGCGGACAGUGUCUGGUGGGUAGUUUGACUGGGGCGGUCUCCUCCUAAAGAGUAACGGAGGAGCACGAAGGUUGGCUAAUCCUGGUCGGACAUCAGGAGGUUAGUGCAAUGGCAUAAGCCAGCUUGACUGCGAGCGUGACGGCGCGAGCAGGUGCGAAAGCAGGUCAUAGUGAUCCGGUGGUUCUGAAUGGAAGGGCCAUCGCUCAACGGAUAAAAGGUACUCCGGGGAUAACAGGCUGAUACCGCCCAAGAGUUCAUAUCGACGGCGGUGUUUGGCACCUCGAUGUCGGCUCAUCACAUCCUGGGGCUGAAGUAGGUCCCAAGGGUAUGGCUGUUCGCCAUUUAAAGUGGUACGCGAGCUGGGUUUAGAACGUCGUGAGACAGUUCGGUCCCUAUCUGCCGUGGGCGCUGGAGAACUGAGGGGGGCUGCUCCUAGUACGAGAGGACCGGAGUGGACGCAUCACUGGUGUUCGGGUUGUCAUGCCAAUGGCACUGCCCGGUAGCUAAAUGCGGAAGAGAUAAGUGCUGAAAGCAUCUAAGCACGAAACUUGCCCCGAGAUGAGUUCUCCCUGACCCUUUAAGGGUCCUGAAGGAACGUUGAAGACGACGACGUUGAUAGGCCGGGUGUGUAAGCGCAGCGAUGCGUUGAGCUAACCGGUACUAAUGAACCGUGAGGCUUAACCUU
rnacentral:rRNA from 1 species